CGGGCUUCUGCAGUAGAGGGUGUCAUUCAAGGCUGGGUGCGGGAAGGGGUGAGAACCUGGUGAAGGGACACAAGGUGCCUCUUUCUCUAGUAGCAGUUAAAAGCUGAGUCUUAGGGUAAAACUUUAAAGUCACUCAAGUCCCUGCUUUCACAAAUGAUGUGGGCACUUAGAUGCCUAGAUUCCUAUUGACCGUUGGCUCCACGGUGUUUGUCGCUUUUGAAAACUUUGCCCACGAUUUCCUGAGAUUCCAAUGACAUGUCUGUGGUCUUGGAGCUGCCCUUGGUUGUUGGUACUCAGGGCUUACCAGGCUUGCAGAGAGAGCAUCUGUCUGAGGAAGCCGAGGCGUGCCUGUUAGUGAUUCAAAUCACCUACUCUGAAGAAAUCUGAAUGUGGCUUCAGUGAGAAUUUUAAGGAAAUCUAAUGCACCCCUAAUGUUGCAGAUGUUCCUGCUGCGGAAGCCAAUCUCAUACCAUGCUGAAGACCUGUAAUAUAUGAUAAAAAUCAGUAAUAUUUAAAUGAAGUUGCAGUGCUUUUACAAGUCCAUCAAAUUUCUUCUUGUAAUCUGAAUUGGAUUGUCUAUUAUAAUGGGUACCUAGUUUCUAAAUUGAUUUGUAACACACUUCCAGUGAAAUACUUAAGCUCUAUAGUUCUUGCACUGUAGAUAUUACUCAUGUUACAUAAUACAACAUUAUUCAAUACCACGCAGUUGACCCUUAUGUAACUCAUGUUGGCUUCAUUAGGUACAAAACUAGCUAUACACAAUUUCUGGAUAAUUAAAACUAUUAGUAAACACGUGUGAAAUAUGCUAA